AAGAUACUAGUAUAACUAGUAUACUGCCUUGUCGAGGCAGAGCUUCGGGUUAAACCCCCGAGUAUCUUG
rnacentral:tRNA from 1 species